GAUGAACGCUGACAGAAUGCUUAACACAUGCAAGUCAACUUGAACUUCGGUUUGGGUGGCGGACGGGUGAGUAACGCGUAAAGAACUUGCCUCACAGCUAGGGACAACAUUUGGAAACGAAUGCUAAUACCUGAUAUUAUGAUUUUAGGGCAUCCUAGAAUUAUGAAAGCUAUAUGCGCUGUGAGAGAGCUUUGCGUCCCAUUAGCUAGUUGGAGAGGUAACGGCUCACCAAGGCGAUGAUGGGUAGCCGGCCUGAGAGGGUGAACGGCCACAAGGGGACUGAGACACGGCCCUUACUCCUACGGGAGGCAGCAGUGGGGAAUAUUGGACAAUGGACCAAGAGUCUGAUCCAGCAAUUCUGUGUGCACGAUGAAGUUUUUCGGAAUGUAAAGUGCUUUCAGUUGGGAAGAAAAAAAUGACGGUACCAACAGAAGAAGUGACGGCUAAAUACGU
rnacentral:rRNA from 1 species